UACGUAGGGUGCAAGCGUUGUCCGGAAUUAUUGGGCGUAAAGAGCUCGUAGGCGGUCUGUUGCGUCGGCCGUGAAAACCUGCAGCUUAACUGUGGGCUUGCGGUCGAUACGGGCAUCACUGGAGUUCGGCAGGGGAGACUGGAAUUCCUGGUGUAGCGGUGAAAUGCGCAGAUAUCAGGAGGAACACCGGUGGCGAAGGCGGGUCUCUGGGCCGAUACUGACGCUGAGGAGCGAAAGCGUGGGGAGCGAACAGG
rnacentral:rRNA from 1 species